ensembl:rRNA 5S_rRNA 5S ribosomal RNA
GUCUAUGGCCAUACCACCCUGAACGCGCCCGGUCUCGUCUGAUCUCGGAAGCUAAGCAGGGUCGGGCCUGGUUAGUACUUGGAUGGGAGACUCACUUGAUAUUUUAUAUUGUUAUAUUUA